GACGAACGCUGGCGGCGUGCUUAACACAUGCAAGUCGAACGGAAAGGCCCUGCUUUUGUGGGGUGCUCGAGUGGCGAACGGGUGAGUAACACGUGAGUAACCUGCCCUUGACUUUGGGAUAACUUCAGGAAACUGGGGCUAAUACCGGAUAGGAGCUCCUGCUGCAUGGUGGGGGUUGGAAAGUUUCGGCGGUUGGGGAUGGACUCGCGGCUUAUCAGCUUGUUGGUGGGGUAGUGGCUUACCAAGGCUUUGACGGGUAGCCGGCCUGAGAGGGUGACCGGCCACAUUGGGACUGAGAUACGGCCCAGACUCCUACGGGAGGCAGCAGUGGGGAAUAUUGCACAAUGGGCGGAAGCCUGAUGCAGCAACGCCGCGUGCGGGAUGACGGCCUUCGGGUUGUAAACCGCUUUCGCCUGUGACGAAGCGUGAGUGACGGUAAUGGGUAAAGAAGCACCGGCUAACUACGUGCCAGCAGCCGCGGUGAUACGUAGGGUGCGAGCGUUGUCCGGAUUUAUUGGGCGUAAAGGGCUCGUAGGUGGUUGAUCGCGUCGGAAGUGUAAUCUUGGGGCUUAACCCUGAGCGUGCUUUCGAUACGGGUUGACUUGAGGAAGGUAGGGGAGAAUGGGAUUCCUGGUGGAGCGGUGGAAUGCGCAGAUAUCAGGAGGAACACCAGUGGCGAAGGCGGUUCUCUGGGCCUUUCCUGACGCUGAGGAGCGAAAGCGUGGGGAGCGAACAGGCUUAGAUACCCUGGUAGUCCACGCUGUAAACGGUGGGUACUAGGUGUGGGGUCCAUUCCACGGGUUCCGUGCCGUAGCUAACGCUUUAAGUACCCCGCCUGGGGAGUACGGCCGCAAGGCUAAAACUCAAAGGAAUUGACGGGGCCCCGCACAAGCGGCGGAGCAUGCGGAUUAAUUCGAUGCAACGCGUAGAACCUUACCUGGGUUUGACAUGGAUCGGGAGUGCUCAGAGAUGGGUGUGCCUCUUUUGGGGUCGGUUCACAGGUGGUGCAUGGCUGUCGUCAGCUCGUGUCGUGAGAUGUUGGGUUAAGUCCCGCAACGAGCGCAACCCUUGUUCACUGUUGCCAGCACGUUAUGGUGGGGACUCAGUGGAGACCGCCGGGGUCAACUCGGAGGAAGGUGGGGAUGACGUCAAGUCAUCAUGCCCCUUAUGUCCAGGGCUUCACGCAUGCUACAAUGGCUGGUACAGAGAGUGGCGAGCCUGUGAGGGUGAGCGAAUCUCGGAAAGCCGGUCUCAGUUCGGAUUGGGGUCUGCAACUCGACCUCAUGAAGUCGGAGUCGCUAGUAAUCGCAAAUCAGCAACGCUGCGGUGAAUACGUUCCCGGG
rnacentral:rRNA from 1 species